GCAGUGUGGGGAUCACCUCAUCUGUCCUUCAAGGUUCUGCAAUGCUCUGCCUUCAUUUUCCUUAUCAAGUUAACAGAUAUAUUCUGACUCUGUCUUUCGUGCUCAGUAUUCUUGCAAGAGAACAGAGCUCCUGAUCACCUGUGUGCAUCCUUUGAGUGGAUGGCAGCUGCAUCUCUGCAUUACAGCUAGUUAGAAUGAUGAGUCCUUGCUAUGCCUCAAGCACUGUUUCGAGUGUUUGAUGUCUAUUAUCUCACUUCAUCCUCACCAGGACCCCAUCCGAGCCUUAAUUUCAGUUGACAGUAACUAUUGGAUCCCCAGGAAUAUGUCUGCAUAUCUGGGGAGAAAAUACUAUUGGAGGGGAACAGAAAUGCUACUAAGAAAUAACUCUUGGCCUGCUACUGCUACUGUGUCAUAGUAGAUACUGAAUGCUUAACCAUGGUUCACCAAGUUACCAUGUGACCUGAGCUGCCCGUCAUGAACUGGGUGUUAUCUGACCACCAAGCCACAAAGUUGGGCAUGCAAACCAGCACUCCAUUAUCAAAUGGAAAUGAUAUAUAUGUGAUUGGGCCUGAGCAAGCCCUGAAGGCAUAAGUAAGUUAUAUAAAGUGGCUCAAAUGCCCAUGUUGCCCACUUCUGCUACACUGCCUCCUCUCUCCCAACCUUUACCUAUGCUUCAUGGGGUUUCCUUAUAACGAGU